rnacentral:rRNA from 1 species
GGGAACCUACCUUCUAGCGGGGGAUAACACACCGUAAUGUGUGCUAAUACCGCAUAAUAGUAUUUGAUGCAUAUCAGAUACUUGAAAGGCGCAAUUGCGUCACUAGAAGAUGGCCCCGCAGUGCAUUAGCUAGUUGGUGAGGUAACGGCUCACCAAGGCAAUGAUGCAUAGCCGACCUGAGAGGGUGAUCGGCCACACUGGGACUGAGACACGGCCCAGACUCCUACGGGAGGCAGCAGUAGGGAAUCUUCGGCAAUGGACGCAAGUCUGACCGAGCAACGCCGCGUGAGUGAAGAAGGUUUUCGGAUCGUAAAACUCUGUUGUAAGAGAAGAACGUUGAUGAGAGUGGAAAGUUCAUCAAGUGACGGUAUCUUACCAGAAAGCCACGGCUAACUACGUGCCAGCAGCCGCGGUAAUACGUAGGUGGCAAGCGUUGUCCGGAUUUAUUGGGCGUAAAGCGAGCGCAGGCGGUUGAUUAAGUCUGAUGUGAAAGCCCCCGGCUCAACCGGGGAGGGUCAUUGGAAACUGGUCAACUUGAGUGCAGAAGAGGAGAGUGGAAUUCCAUGUGUAGCGGUGAAAUGCGUAGAUAUAUGGAGGAACACCAGUGGCGAAGGCGGCUCUCUGGUCUGUAACUGACGCUGAGGCUCGAAAGCGUGGGGAGCGAACAGGAUUAGAUACCCUGGUAGUCCACGCCGUAAACGAUGAGUGCUAAGUGUUGGAGGGUUUCCGCCCUUCAGUGCUGCAGCUAAC